rnacentral:rRNA from 1 species
AUUGAACGCUGGCGGCAGGCCUAACACAUGCAAGUCGAGCGGAGCGGCGGACGGGUGAGUAAUGCCUGGGAAUCUGCCUGGUAGUGGGGGAUAACGUCCGGAAACGGGCGCUAAUACCGCAUACUAUCAGAUGAGCCUAGGUGGGAUUAGCUAGUUGGUUGGGUAAGGGCCUACCAAGGCGACGAUCCGUAACUGGUCUGAGAGGAUGAUCAGUCACACUGGAACUGAGACACGGUCCAGACGCCUACGGUAGGCAGCAGUGGGGAAUAUUGGACAAUGGGCGAAAGCCUGAUGCAGCCAUGCCGCGUGUAUGAAGAAGGCCUUCGGGUUGUAAAGUACUUUCAGCGAGGAGGCGUUACUCGCAGAAGAAGCACCGGCUAACUCCGUGCCAGCCGCCGCGGUAAUAC